rnacentral:rRNA from 1 species
GACGAACGCUGGCGGCGUGCCUAAUACAUGCAAGUAGAGCGCAGUUGCGAACGGGUGAGUAAUGCGUAGGUAACUGCCUCAGAGCAGGGGAUAACUAAAGGAAACGAUAGAUAAUACCGCAUACUGUGAGAUGGACCUGUGUUGUAUUGGCUAGUUGGUGAGGUAAAGGCUCACCAAGGCGAAGAUACAGAGCCGACCUGAGAGGGAGUACGGCCACACUGGGACUUGAGCACCGCCCAGAGUCCUACCGGAGGCAGCAGUAGGGAAUCUUCGGAAAUGGACGGAAGGCUGACCGCGCAACGGCGGGGGAGUGGAGGAAGUUUUCGGAUCGUAAAGCUCUGUUGUUAGAGGAGCGGUAACUACCCAAAAAGGGACGGCUAACUACGUGCCAGCAGCCGCGGUAAUAC